CCUAGAACUUAAAUGUAUUCCCGCAUUAUACUGGUGGGCGACCUAGAACUUAAAUGUAUUCCCGCAUUAUACUGGUGGGUGACCUAGAACUUAAAUGUAUUCCCGCAUUAUACUGGUGGGCGACCUAGAACUUAAAUGUAUUCCCGCAUUAUACUGGUGGGCGACCUAGAACUUAAAUGUAUUUGAAAUUGUUUCCCCGUUCUUCCGAGAAAUUUUUGACAAUCGGCAGUAAAUUUCAGCCCCGGUUUUUGGUGACUUCCCUGGCGUUGCAUCUUGCUGCCAUCAUCAAUCCUUUGUUUUCCUGCAGCAAACAAAAGGAUUUAAUUAGUUUUCAUCGUGGUGGUAGAGGGUGCCUUUCUGGCGGAUGAUUUUUCCUGUCUU
rnacentral:lncRNA from 1 species